AAUAUAUAAAUAAAAUCUUAAAAAAAAAAAAAAGAGAGAGAGAGAGAGAAAUGGAAACUAAAACUGCUCUAAAUGCCAGGUUUCUCCUGUCACUUUGGGAAAGACCAAAAACAUGGGGGUAGAGGGUCAUGCAGACCCAUACAGCCAUGAUGCCGGCAGUAAUGUGUUGAAAAUUACCUUGUACUCUGACCUGGCGAGUCUUCUAGGAAUGUAUCCAGCAGAUAGACCCACAGGUGUGUUGUAAUAGCAGCUGGCGACCAAAAGGCCCUCUAGGAUGGGAGUGGCCAAACCCAUGAUGGGCCGUCCACACAUCAGAGGACCAUGCAGCUGUGAAAUGCGUAAGGAGGUCAGCCAGCUCGUCCUCCAAAGACUGGUCUUCCAGAUCACAGCCUUCCGAGGGCCGCCAUCCCUGACGUGUGGCUGGACUCCAGAUAAGGCCUCAAAGCACUCAGUCCUAUCCCGGAGCGAGCCGGCCCUCCCAGGCGUGCAGGAGCACCGACGCCAGACUCUGCUGGGGUCUCUGGCAGACGCUGGAGGAAUUAGGAGCAGGUGGGGGCUGAAGCCAGGUAAGGUCCCCCCAGGUUAUGGAACCCAGUGGGGCCUUUUAAUUCUAGCCUUACGACUGCCAUGCAGGUGAGAGCGUCCUAGAGGAACUUGGGUGGAAGGCGAAGCCCCC
rnacentral:lncRNA from 1 species